CAGUUAUGGAUGUGAUGAGUUACAACCAACACAGAAUCUCCAGGCCAAUGCAGGAUUCCUCUAGGUGGAACUUAAGGCCCAGAACCUAGGAGGCCAGAGGUGCUGAGCUUUCAGACCAACACCUCCCUUACCUGGUCCUUCAUGUCCAUGCCAGAAUUAGGAAUUCUCCCAGACGCCUGCGACAGAACCUCAGGGCUGGAAAAGCUGCAGACACCACCCAGUUUCUCCUUUACUUGACCUGUAGGUAGAGCACUUGAAGUACACAAGGACAGAAAUAGCAUCAAAAGAUGUCAUGAACUUGCCAGCCUCGCUACCCUCCCUGACAUUGAUCACUAAUGCUGACCGUUCCCCUCACAGAAGAGUGAAGACCUGGAGAAGCAGAACACAGCUCUGCUCAAGGAGAUCAAGCAUCUCACAGAGGAGGUGAAGUACUUCACAUCAGUGCUGGGCAGCCAUGAGCCCCUGUGCUCAGUGCUGACCACCAGCACACCCUUGUCCCCAAAGGUGGUCCACCAUGCCAUGUUUUCACCAGCUCUGCUUCGAGCCCUGAGCUUCCGGAAAGCAGAACCCCCGAUCCCCGAUGCUCUAGGAGGCCUCAGAAGGGGCACAUGGACUGUGGUCAGGCUGCCCUCAUCCUUCAGAGCUGUCUCUCCAUCUGGAGACCCAGUGACAAAGGCCCAGAUGGGGACUGAACACAGGACUGCAGUGGACAGAGGGGUCAGUGUGUGCUGGACCUCCAAGUGGGUAGAAGCCCAAGGCAAUCAGUGAGAAAUGGGAUGCCUGAG